GACGAACGCUGGCGGCGUGCUUAACACAUGCAAGUCGAACGAUGAAACCUAGCUUGCUAGGUCGAUUAGUGGCGAACGGGUGAGUAACACGUGACUAACCUGCCCCUUUCUCUGGGAUAACGCUCCGAAAGGAGUGCUAAUACCGGAUACUCACACCGAGGCACAUGCCUUGGUGUGGAAAGUUUUUCGGAAAGGGAUGGAGUCGCGGCCUAUCAGCUUGUUGGUGAGGUACCGGCUCACCAAGGCGACGACGGGUAGCCGGCCGGAGAGGGGGACCGGCCACACUGGGACUGAGACACGGCCCAGACUCCUACGGGAGGCAGCAGUGGGGAAUAUUGCACAAUGGGCGCAAGCCUGAUGCAGCGACGCCGCGUGAGGGAUGAAGGUCUUCGGAUUGUAAACCUCUUUCAGUAGGGACGAAGCGAAAGUGACGGUACCUAAAGAAGAAGCACCGGCUAACUACGUGCCAGCCGCCGCCGUAA
rnacentral:rRNA from 1 species